GACGAACGCUGGCGGCGUGCUUAACACAUGCAAGUCGAACGGAAAGGCCCUGCUUUUGUGGGGUGCUCGAGUGGCGAACGUGUGAGUAACACGUGAGUAACCUGCCCUUGACUUUGGGAUAACUUCAGGAAACUGGGGCUAAUACCUGAUAGGAGCUCCUGCUGCAUGGUGGGGGUUGGAAAGUUUCGGCGGUUGGGGAUGGACUCGCGGCUUAUCAGCUUGUUGGUGGGGUAGUGGCUUACCAAGGCUUUGACGGGUAGCCGGCCUGAGAGGGUGACCGGCCACAUUGGGACUGAGAUACGGCCCAGACUCCUACGGGAGGCAGCAGUGGGGAAUAUUGCACAAUGGGCGGAAGCCUGAUGCAGCAACGCCGCGUGCGGGAUGACGGCCUUCGGGUUGUAAACCGCUUUCGCCUGUGACGAAGCGUGAGUGACGGUAAUGGGUAAAGAAGCACCGGCUAACUACGUG
rnacentral:rRNA from 1 species